UACAGAGGGUGCAAGCGUUAAUCGGAUUUACUGGGCGUAAAGCGCGCGUGAGCGGCUAAUUAAGUCAAAUGUGAAAUCCCCGAGCUUAACUUGGGAAUUGCAUUCGAUACUGGUUAGCUAGAGUGUGGGAGAGGAUGGUAGAAUUCCAGGUGUAGCGGUGAAAUGCGUAGAGAUCUGGAGGAAUACCGAUGGCGAAGGCAGCCAUCUGGCCUAACACUGACGCUGAGGUGCGAAAGCAUGGGGAGCAAACAGG
rnacentral:rRNA from 1 species